rnacentral:lncRNA from 1 species
GUUGGCAUGAUUUGUGUUUCAGAGAGGUCGUAGCUACUACAGGAGGAAUGUCGUGUGCAUGGAAGCUGGGGUGCCAGGUGGUAGUCUGGGGGCACUGGGGCUGGCCUGAAGGGUGGCGUCACGGAGCCUCGGUGCAGCCUGGAGAUCAUUUGCCAGGGCGCUAACAGGACUCCUGGUGCGCCGAAUGCUCAGAGUGUGGGAAAGAGCAUCAGGGUCAACCAAGGGCGAUUUCGCCUGCUAGGGACAGGGCAGUGGGAGACAUUUUUGAUUUUCACAGCGUGGAGGGGCUCUCCCGGCACCUCGUGGGUGCUGCUAAACGUCCUCCCGUGUCCAGGACACCCCCACAAGGUGGCUCGGCACAUGGUGACUCCUCAGUGAAGCUGGGAGAGGCCUGGGAGGGAGCAACCUGGACCUCAGCACCACCUAUGCCAGGCGAAGCCCUGCGGGUGGCAGAAACACAGACCUGCAACCGCCCUGAAUCCAGAGCCACUGCAGGCCCAGGGCUUUUUUUAAGCCUGGGGGCCCAGCCUCACCCAGGGAGCGGAUCCUGUGUUCCCGGCGUGCGUCCAGCCCAGCCUGUCAUGCGAGUGUUUGAUGAAUAUUUCAGCACACUCCAUACUCCCGCCCUGGCCACCUCCUGGGGAGUUCUGAAGGCUCAGGCUGCACCCCGGGGCCUCCCCAAGGGUUCAGUGAUUAGCGGACCAAACUAAGUAGCUGUCACUGAGCAGCAGACACGGGGAAAGGGCCUGGUCUUGGGGGAUCUCAGCCUGGCAGGUAGCAGCACAAAGCCUCCUGGGCCAAGCAGCGGCCAGAGCUGCUGCUCCCCCCCAGCCCAGCCCAGGACCCCGAGGGAUGCUCUGCAGCCAGAAUAUCCUGAACCCACUGCCCGUCGCUCGGUGUGAUCUCAAAGCAUGUGCUGCCCUGGGGCCCUGGCCUCUGACCCGAAGCAUCGCCUGAGGGAAGGCCUGGCCCGCUGCUCAGCGCACCUGGGCCCCACUGGAGAAAUGGAGAAAUUCCAUCCAUCAGACUUGGUCCUUAUGCCGGGCUUGUGUGGGGAGGUGGGGGCAGGGCCUGCCCCAGGGACCUGAGCAGUACCCGAGGUGUUUGGCCAGGUGGACGCCAGAUGUGGUGGGGAAGAAUGUUGCUGACAGUUUUUCUUAAAUUGGCUUUUGGUGUAGAACCCAGCAGGGACUUGGUCCACCUCGGUAGCCAGGGAGGAGGCGCUCUGAACAAACCAGCAGCUUUACAGAAGCUCAGGAGGUGCUCACACUUGGUUGAAGAAGAGGCCAUUUGCUGGAUGUCACAAGCACCUUUUCUGGAAGCUGCCAUCUCCAAAAGCCUUCUGGGAGCUGCCUACAAAAGCCACCUUUGAUUCUGAGCCCUGAAGAAAAGCUGUGUGGUCUUUGGCCUCGGCUGGUGGGUAAGGAGACAUCUGCAGCCUCCUGCCAGCCAGGCGAGGUUCACACCCUCCCAGCCUGGCCCUGGAACCCCGGACCAGCACCCCCACAGCCAGUCUUAGUGCCUC